rnacentral:piRNA from 1 species
UCCCGGAAUACACCACUGGACCAGAACC